UUUGCCUACGGGACGCAGCAGUGGGGAAUAUUGCACAAUGGGGGAAACCCUGAUGCAGCGACGCCGCGUGAGUGAAGAAGUAUUUCGGUAUGUAAAGCUCUAUCAGCAGGGAAGAAAAAAGACGGUACCUGACUAAGAAGCCCCGGCUAACUACGUGCCAGCAGCCGCGGUAAUACGUAGGGGGCAAGCGUUAUCCGGAUUUACUGGGUGUAAAGGGGGCGCAGACGGCAAUGCAAGCCAGGAGUGAAAGCCCGGGGCCCAACCCCGGGACUGCUCUUGGAACUGCAUGGCUGGAGUACAGGAGG
rnacentral:rRNA from 1 species